GGCGUGGUGUUUUAUUUAAUAAAAUAUUGAGUUGCAACCUCAGAGAAGGAUACUUGGUCCCCACUCCU
rnacentral:tRNA from 1 species